GCGCAUAUCCACACCGGGCGAGCUUGAAAAAUAUGCCCGGCCACGGUGGGAUUCGAACCUACGACCUUUGGAAUACUAGCCCAAUGCUCUUCCAACUGAGCUACGCGGUCAGGGCGGUUCGAGUAAGUGAUAUUUCGGAACAGUAUCUAGUUCCUUCAAUACCAAUGUGUUCUUGUAAUAUGAAUUUUUUUCUGUGUUGGUGUUGUGUACUCAGGUGAAUAAUAUGUUUCCG